UGAUGAUGAUGAUGAUGAUGAUGAUGAUGAUGAUGAUGAUGAUGAUGAUGAGGAUAAUAAUUAUCACAAUUAUCACCAUCAUAAAUACCAUCAAUC
rnacentral:pre_miRNA from 1 species